rnacentral:rRNA from 1 species
AGUGAACGCUGGCGGUAGGCCUAACACAUGCAAGUCGAACGGCAGCACAGUAAGAGCUUGCUCUUACGGGUGGCGAGUGGAGGACGGGUGAGGAAUACAUCGGAAUCUACUUUUUCGUGGGGGAUAACGUAGGGAAACUUACGCUAAUACCGCAUACGACCUACGGGUGAAAGCAGGGGAUCUUCGGACCUUGAGCGAUUGAAUGAGCCGAUGUCGGAUUAGCUAGUUGGCGGGGUAAAGGCCCACCAAGGCGACGAUCCGUAGCUGGACUGAGAGGAUGAUCAGCGACACUGGAAGUGAGACACGGGCCAGACUCCGACGGGAGGCAGCAGUGGGGAAUAUUGGGCAAUAGGCGCAAGCCUGAUCCAGCCAUACCGCGUGGGUGAAGAAGGCCUUCGGGUGGUAAAGCCCUUUUGUUGGGAAAGAAAAGCAGCAUGUUAAUACCCCGCUGUUCGGACGGUACCCAAAGAAUAAGCACCGGCUAACUUCGU